GAAAAUCAGUGCAGUGUCCAUUUGGUAAAAAACAGAAGCAUGUGUUGCACAAUCUAAAUCAAUCUAAAAGCGAACAUUUUAUAUACGAAACAUAAAAAAUUUUACUAGCUAGUAGAAGCAGAUACAAAAGGUUUCUACUUUCCAGAACCUCAGCCCAUAAAUUUACGUAGCAAGAUGAAACAAAUUAUUUCAAACACAAAAUCAAUAUCACAAAACAGACUAAACCGACAUGUCUAAACUAAUAGCAAUGAAA
rnacentral:misc_RNA from 1 species